CAGGGGGAUAACACCUGGAAACAGGUGCUAAGACCGCAUAAGCGCACAGUCUCGCAUGGGACAGUGUGAAAAACUCCGGUGGUACAAGAUGGAUCCGCGUCUGAUUAGCCAGUUGGCGGGGUAACGGCCCACCAAAGCGACGAUCAGUAGCCGGCCUGAGAGGGUGAACGGCCACAUUGGGACCGAGACACGGCCCAAACUCCUACGGGAGGCAGCAGUGGGGAAUAUUGCACAAUGGGGGAAACCCUGAUGCAGCAACGCCGCGUGAGUGAAGAAGUAAUUCGUUAUGUAAAGCUCUAUCAGCAGGGAAGAAAAUGACGGUACCUGAGUAAGCAGCCCCGGCUAACUACGUGCCAGCAGCCGCGGUAAUACGUAGGGGGCAAGCGUUAUCCGGAUUUACUGGGUGUAAAGGGAGCGUAGACGGUAAAGCAAGUCUGAAGUGAAAUGCCAGUGCUCAACACUGGAACUGCUUUGGAAACUGUUUGGCUGGAGUGCAGGAGAGGUAAGUGGAAUUCCUAGUGUAGCGGUGAAAUGCGUAGAUAUUAGGAGGAACACCAGUGGCGAAGGCGGCUUACUGGACUGUAACUGACGUUGAGGCUCGAAAGCGUGGGGAGCAAACAGGAUUAGAUACCCUGGUAGUCCACGCGGUAAACGAUGAUUAAUGGGUGUCGGGGGGUUAUAACCCUUCGGUGCCGCCG
rnacentral:rRNA from 1 species